rfam:Natronomonas pharaonis DSM 2160 complete genome
AGUCCCGUGGUGUAGUGGCCAAUCAUAUGGGCCUUUGGAGCCCAUGACGCUGGUUCGAAUCCAGCCGGGACUA